UACGUAUGGUGCGAACGUUGUUCGGAAUCACUGGGCAUAAAGAGCACGUAGGCGGCCAACUAAGUCAGACGUGAAAUCCCUCGGCUUAACCGGGGAACUGCAUCUGAUACUGGAUGGCUUGAGAUUGGGAGAGGGAUGCGGAAUUCCAGGUGUAGCGGUGAAAUGCGUAGAUAUCUGGAGGAACACCGGUGGCGAAGGCGGCAUCCUGGACCAACACUGACGCUGAGGAGCGAAAGCCAGGGGAGCAAACGGG
rnacentral:rRNA from 1 species